ACCAGCUCUUCAAGUGGUCGGGAUGAUUAUUGGGCUUAAAGUGUCCGUAGCCGGUUUAGUAAGUUCCUGGUAAAAUCAGGUAGCUUAACUAUCUGUAUGCUAGGAAUACUACUAUACUAGAGGGCGGGAGAGGUCUGAGGUACUACAGGGGUAGGGGUGAAAUCUUAUAAUCCUAGUAGGACCACCAGUGGCGAAGGCGUCAGACUGGAACGUGCCUGACGGUGAGGGACGAAAGCCAGGGGAGCGAACCGGAUUAGAUACCCGGGUAGUCCUGGCUGUAAACGAUGCAUACUAGGUGAUGGCCCGGCCAUGAGCCGUGUCAGUGCCGUAGGGAGACCGUUAAGUGUGCCGCCUGGGAAGUACGGUCGCAAGGCUAAAACUUAAAGGAAUUGGCGGGGGAGCACCACAAGGGGUGAAGCCUGCGGUUC
rnacentral:rRNA from 1 species